CUUGGAAUCUAAUCGCUUAAGCUCCUGAGCUGUAUAUAUUGCAUUUUAGUUCUCCCCUUCAACUGCCAACAGCCUAACUGUGUCUUUCGCAUAUACUUUCCAACAUCGAAUAUUUUAUUGCGUACAUGGCUACAUGCCUUUGUAAAAGGUAUAAUAUUAUCUUUUCUAGCACAUUUUGUCAAAAACAAAAAACAUACGAUUUUUAAUAGGUAUCUUAACUUGUACUGGAUUCAAAAAUAAAAUGAAAAUAACGCUGUAGAAAGAAUCCUAUACAAGCCGAAGUUGUUGCAUUUUGACAACAUGAUGUGAAAGUCGCCAUUUCCCUCAAAUGCCCCGAACAGCAAGCGCUCCUGUGGCAAAAUAUUCCGCGUA